UACGUAGGGGGCAAGCGUUGUCCGGAUUUACUGGGUGUAAAGGGCGUGUAGCCGGGCUGACAAGUCAGAUGUGAAAUCCGGGGGCUCAACCCCCGAACUGCAUUUGAAACUGUUGGUCUUGAGUAUCGGAGAGGCAGGCGGAAUUCCUAGUGUAGCGGUGAAAUGCGUAGAUAUUAGGAGGAACACCAGUGGCGAAGGCGGCCUGCUGGACGACAACUGACGUUGAGGCUCGAAAGCGUGGGGAGCAAACAGG
rnacentral:rRNA from 1 species